CAGGAACCAUUGGACCUAUUAUGCAAUUCUCCGCGCCCAUCCCUGGAGCUACAGGACCUAUCAAUCUGUCUCAAAGAACCAUCGUGCAAACUCCUGGCCCUAUGG